CACACAGAGGUGAGUGUUCUACAGUUGGAAUGAUGCAGAGAAGAAAGCAUGAACCCUGCACAAGGAUGGCAUGAAACUUGGUGAACUGACCCCUAUUUUU
rnacentral:snRNA from 1 species